UUUUAUUAGUUUUGAUUUGAAAACUUCUUAUCUUUGGGUUUUGUUUGUGCUUUCCCCUUUUCCUUUGGAAACAAUAAAAGCGCGGUGGCGACUCUUGUUUUAUUGACGUUAAGCUUAUCCAUAGCUUGAUGAUCAUGAAUUUACCACUACAAUUUGCACCUUCAAAAUUGCUUAUCAGAGGUUCUAAGAAACUAUGCCCAUUUGCAUAACACAACCCUGUCUAACCUAUAAAACUUAAAAAGAACAUAACAUCUUAAUCACUAACAACACUUCACUAACUCUUCUUUAGAAAUUUAAGUUAACCUACGUCACAACCAUAUUCAUUUGAAUAAAAAUUACAAACCACACAACAGACAAAAUUAAUCACACACCAAGUGAAUGAAAGAUGCGGUCGAGGAAGUGUCACUGGUUCAGCAGGUCUCCUUUAGUGCAAGCGAUUCCAUGUUGAUUCAUUCAGCUUCACUUGCAGUUGUCAGUUAUAACAUUAGUUAACCAA
rnacentral:lncRNA from 1 species